rnacentral:rRNA from 1 species
UACAGAGGUCUCAAGCGUUGUUCGGAUUCAUUGGGCGUAAAGGGUGCGUAGGUGGCGCCAUGAGUCAGGUGUGAAAUCUCGGGGCUCAACCUCGAAACUGCACUUGAUACUGUGGUGCUUGAGUACUGGAGAGGAGAUUGGAAUUUACGGUGUAGCAGUGAAAUGCGUAGAUAUCGUAAGGAAGACCAGUGGCGAAGGCGAAUCUCUGGACAGUUACUGACACUGAGGCACGAAGGCCAGGGGAGCAAACGGG